rnacentral:tRNA from 2 species
GGGCCCGUGGUCUAGCGGUUAUGACGCCACCUUCACAUGGUGGAGAUCAGAGGUUCGAUUCCUCUCGGGCCCA